AACGAACGCUGGCGGCAUGCCUAACACAUGCAAGUCGAACGAACUUUUCGGAGUUAGUGGCGGACGGGUGAGUAACGCGUAGGAACCUGCCAAGUAGUGGGGGAUAACAGCUGGAAACGGCUGCUAAUACCGCAUACGCCCCCUGGUUUAACAUCUGGGGGGGAAAGAUUUAUCGCUAUUUGAGGGUCCUGCGUUCGAUUAGCUUGUUGGCGGGGUAACGGCCCACCAAGGCGAUGAUCGAUAGCUGGUCUGAGAGGAUGAUCAGCCACACUGGGACUGAGACACGGCCCAGACUCCUACGGGAGGCAGCAGUGGGGAAUAUUGGACAAUGGGGGCAACCCUGAUCCAGCAAUGCCGCGUGCGUGAAGAAGGCCUUAGGGUUGUAAAGCGCUUUCACCUGCGAUGAUGAUGACAGUAGC
rnacentral:rRNA from 1 species